rnacentral:lncRNA from 1 species
AUAAUGUGAUAAGUCACUAUCGCAAGGUACACGACGUCCGUUUAACAAAAACCAUAUGUGACUGAUCAGUUCAUUGGCUGUUUUCCGGGAAGUGGCGUUUCGACACAGGAGAACUAUAACACACUGAACCUUGCACUCGCAUAUAAAGAUAGUUGUGAACAAGUGCGAGCAGUUAAUCACAGCUUCUGGCAUUUUCAGCGAGAUUCGCUAUCGUCAACCAUCAUGAAGAAUUUCUUCUUGUUAUUAUUCGUUUCUCUUUUGAUAGUGAACCUAGUGAAAGCAGGAGAACGAUUUGACAAAUUUAAGGAGGACGUUGGAGAAGCCUGGGACAAAACUAAGUCCAAAUUCAAAGAAUGGGGAGAAAAAGGAAAAGAUGUGGCUGAAGAUGCCUGGGAUAAAACUAAGAAAUUUGGAUCGAAAGUAAAAGACUGGUUUGGAUAAUAAUUUUAUCUGUUACAUUUUUGACAAUUCUUGCAUAUUGUGUAUCAAUAUAAUUGAUGAUGUGAAUGGCUGGAUUUAUUUUAAUGUUUGUAGAAAAAUGCUUUAAGUGCA